UGAAUAUUCAGAACUCUUCAUAUCAAGUUUUCAGAAUGAGGUGCUCUCUCCAGUUCCUGGGGCUGCUUGUGCUCUGGAUCCCUGGAGCCAGUGGGGAUAUUGUGAUGACCCAGGAUGAACUCUCCAAUCCUGUCACUUCUGAAGAAUCAGUUUUCAUCUCUUGCAGGUCUAAUAAGAGUCUUCUACACAGCAAUGGCAAGACAUACUUGAAUUGGUACCUGCAGAGGCCAGGCCAGUCUCCUCAGCUCCUGAUCUAUUGGAUGUCCACCCGUGCAUCAGGAGUCUCAGACAGGUUUAGUGGCAGUGGGUCAGAAACAGAUUUCACACUGCAUAUCAGUAGAGUAGAGGCUGUGGAUAUAGGUGUGUAUUAUUGUCAACAAGUUCUAGAGUAUCCUCCACAGUGA